GGCAAGGAAAGGAUUUGACCUUUAUGACCGAGGCUACAACUCGAUGUCUAUUUCGACCACCUUACC
rnacentral:tRNA from 1 species